ensembl:lncRNA
CAGGCAGGCAGAAUCAAGGACAGGGCAUGCAGGAUGAUCAGGCAGGCAGAAUCAAGGUCAGGGCAGGCAGGACGAUCAGGCAGGCAGAAUCAAGGUCAGGGCAGGCAGGACGAUCAGGCAGGCAGAAUCAAGGUCAGGGCAGGCAGGACGAUCAGGCAGGCAGAAUCAAGGUCAGGGCAGGCAGGACGAUCAGGCAGGCAGAAUCAAGGUCAGGGCAGGCAGGACGAUCAGGCAGGCAGAAUCAAGGUCAGGGCAGCAGGAUGAUCAGGCAGGCAGAAUCAAGGUCAGGGCAGGCAGGAUGACCAGGCAGGCAGAAUCAAGGUCAGGGCAGGCAGGAUGACCAGGCAGGCAGAAUCAAGGUCAGGGCAGGCAGGAUGAUCAGGCAGGAGGGAAAGUAGUCCAGAGGCAGGCAG